rnacentral:rRNA from 1 species
CAGAGGGUGCAAGCGUUAAUCGGAAUUACUGGGCGUAAAGCGCGCGUAGGUGGUUACUUAAGUCAGAUGUGAAAGCCCCGGGCGUUAACCUGGGACGUGCAUCUGAUACUGGGUGACUAGAGUAGGUGAGAGGGGAGUAGAAUUCCAGGUGUAGCGGUGAAAUAGCGUAGAGAUCUGGAGGAAUACCGAUGGCGAAGGCAGCUCCCCUGGCAUCAUACUGACACUGAGGUGCGAAAGCGUGGGUAGCAAACAGGAUU